rnacentral:rRNA from 1 species
GACGAACGCUGGCGGCGUGCCUAACACAUGCAAGUCAGGGAGAAAGAGGUAGCAAUAUCUCGAGUAAACCGGCGAACGGGUGCGUAACGCGUAGGCAACCUUCCUUGUGGACGGGGAUAACCCCGGGAAACCGGGAUAAUACCCGAUGUUAUUCAGUGGCAGCAUUGUCGUUGAAUAAAAGGCCCGAAAGGGCGCCAUGGGAUGGGCCUGCGUCCCAUUAGAUAGUUGGUGGGGUAACGGCUCACCAAGUCGACGAUGGGUANCUGGUCUGAGAGGACGACCAGCCACACUGGAACUGAGACACGGUCCAGACUUCUACGGAAGGCAGCAGCG